rnacentral:lncRNA from 1 species
GUCAUUUGCCUUCUGCAUACAAGAAAACUGAGGACUAAGGAUAUUAUGAGAUCUGCCAAGGGUAGUUUUGAUAUAUACAGUUGUGAUAUUAUAAAUAAAUAAAUAUAUAUAUUUAUUUUUAUAUAUAUAGGUUUUCAUCCACGGUUCCUGGCUCAUAACUCCUGCAGCCCUUGGUGUAGUCUUUUGUUAUAAUGUUGGGGUGCUUUAGGCCUCAGGAGCAGGCCUCAGGAAACAGAAUCUCUCUCUCUAACCUUCUUCUGUCCUCCUUUUACCUGCCCAAGGGAGGCCUCUAAUAUGAUUGCCGGUUAAAAGACCCUCAUUCCAGAAAGGGUCCCUCCCCAUAUUCUGAAAGAAAAAAUGCUGCACAAGAAGCCAGGAAGAAUCUGGACAGACAGGCCUUGCUGGGUUUCCCACUCAUGAGAUCAUGUUCUUUUGUCCAAUCACAUUUCUACACAGGGUCAAUAGUGCCUAUGUAAUGAAGCCUCCAUAAAAACCCAAAAGGACAGCACUUAGAGAGCUUCCAGAUAGCCGAACAUAUGGGUGCUCCUGGAAGGUAGAGUGCCCAGGAAGGACAUGGAGACUCUCUACUCCUUCCCCCAUACCUUGCCCUACACAUCUCUUCAUUGGCACGGUGGCUCACGCCUGUAAUCGCAGCACUUUGGGAGACCAAAGCAGAUGAAUCACCUGAGGUCAAGAGUUCAAGACCAGCCUGGCCAACACGAAAGAAGCUCUCACAGUGGAAGACUAUAAUAUGACAUAAGAAGAAAUGUGGACUUGGAGAUACAGAAGAGUUUCACUCUGCCAUUCAGGCUGCAGUGCAGUGGUGCGAUCUCAAUUCAUUGCAGCCUCGACCGCCCAGAUUCAAGCAAUCCUCCCGCUUCAGCCUCCCAAGCAGCUGGGACUACAGGCACACACCAUGUCGAUAAUUUAAAUCAACCUUAUUCAUUUUAACUGCUACAUAGCAUUGCAGCAUAUAAAUAUACCACAGUGUGUAAUCCAUUCUCCUCUUUGUAGGCAUUUACACGAUUUACAAUUUUGUAUGAUUAGAAAAUAAACCACAAUGAAUAUUGUUGCACAUGAGUUCAAAAGUUUCUGUGAAGAACAAACCUAAAAGUAGAAGGUUAGAGCAUACAUAUUUUCAGCUUUAGAGAAUACUACCAAACUCCUAUAUAUAAUUUUUACCAAUAUGCUCUCUCAGCAGUAGCACUGAGAGUUCUUAUUUCUUCCAAACCUUGACUAUACUUAAUGUUACCAGACCUUAGAAUUUUGUCAUGAUGAUGGGCAUGAAGUGGUAAAACAAGGACAUUUUAUAAAAGUAUCCAUACAUAAUAAAAACAUAACAUUCAUAAAUGUAGGCAAUAUAAAAAUUUAUCAGGUAAAAAAUAUUAGAUUAUAACAGCUGUGAGUGGUAGCUCACGACUGUACUCCCAGCACAUUAGGAGGCCAAGGUGGGCGGAUCACUUGAGGUCAGGAGUUCAAGAACAGCCUGGCCAACAUGGGAAAUCCUGUCUUGACCAAAAAUACAAAAAUUAGCCAGAUGUGGUGGUGCACACCUGUAAUCACAGCUACUCGGGUGGCUGAGGCAGGAGAAUCACUUGAAACCGGGAGGCAGAAGUUGCAGUGAGCCGAGACCACACCACUGCACUCCAGCCUAGGAGACAGAGUCAGACUCCAUCUCAAAAAAAAAAAAAAAAAAAAUAGAUUAUAAGGAGGAGAUUGAGUUAUAAAAUGAUAGGAAGAGGCAUUAUCCUGCCACCAACAACAUAUGAUAGAUCAAUAAUCUUUUAAAGAACAACUUUUAACCAUACUGAAUGGAUAAAUAUUAUCUAGCAAAUAUAACACCUUUCAGAGCAUUCACUGAUCAACUCUCAAAUUUCAAAAACUGGAAAUAAUUUGAGGCAUAUUAACUUCACAAAAACGCAGUAAAGCCAAAAAUCAACAAUGAACUUUAAAUAAAAGGCCUCAACCUUUUAGAUUUAUUUAAAAUACAUUAAAGAACAAAAAUAUCAGAUUACACAAAAAUGACAAAACUAACAAAGCUAAGAAAAAAAAUGUAAUAAAAUCCAAAGCUAUAUUGUGAGGUAUAUUGCUGCAAUUAUUAAAAGUAAAUAUUGGCUGGGUGAGGUGGCUCACACCUAUAAUCCCAAGGCAGUAGGACUGCUUGAGCUCAGGAGUUAAAGACCAGGUUGGACAACACAGCAAGACCUCCUCUCUACUAAAAAUAAAAUUUAAUGUGCCUGAACUCACAAGUACUCAGGAGGCUGAGGCGGGAAGAUUGUUUGAGCCCAGGAGAUCAAAGCUACAGUGAGCCAUGAUCGUGCCACUGCAUCCCAGCCUGGAGCUACAGGCACAUGCCAC